rnacentral:rRNA from 1 species
AGAUUGAACGCUGGCGGCAUGCCUUACACAUGCAAGUCGAACGGCAGCACGGGGGCAACCCUGGUGGCGAGUGGCGAACGGGUGAGUAACACAUCGGAACGUGCCCAGUAGUGGGGGAUAGCCCGGCGAAAGCCGGAUUAAUACCGCAUACGACCUACGGGUGAAAGCGGGGGAUCGCAAGACCUCGCGCUAUCGGAGCGGCCGAUGUCAGAUUAGGUUGUUGGUGGGGUAAAAGCCUACCAAGCCGACGAUCUGUAGCUGGUCUGAGAGGACGACCAGCCACACUGGGACUGAGACACGGCCCAGACUCCUACGGGAGGCAGCAGUGGGGAAUUUGGACAAUGGGCGCAAGCCUGAUCCAGCCAUGCCGCGUGCGGGAAGAAGGCCUCGGUUGUAACCGCUUUGUCGGGAAGAAACGCUCUGGCUAAUACCCGGAGUAAUGACGGUACCCGAAGAAUAAGACACCGGCUAACUACGUGCCAGCAGCCGCGGUAA